GACGGAGGGGGCUAGCGUUGUUCGGAAUUACUGGGCGUAAAGCGUGCGUAGGCGGCCUUUCAAGUUGGGUGUGAAAGCCCGGGGCUCAACCCCGGAAAUGCGCCCAAGACUGUUUGGCUCGAGACCCGGAGAGGUGAGUGGAACUCCCAGUGUAGAGGUGAAAUUCGUAGAUAUUGGGAAGAACACCAGUGGCGAAGGCGGCUCACUGGACGGGUACUGACGCUGAGGAGCGAAAGUGUGGGGAGCGAACAGG
rnacentral:rRNA from 1 species